GAUGAACGCUGGCGGCGUGCCUAAUACAUGCAAGUCGAGCGAACAGAUGAGGAGCUUGCUCCUCUGACGUUAGCGGCGGACGGGUGAGUAACACGUGGAUAACCUACCUAUAAGACUGGGAUAACUUCGGGAAACCGGAGCUAAUACCGGAUAAUAUAUUGAACCGCAUGGUUCAAUAGUGAAAGACGGUUUUGCUGUCACUUAUAGAUGGAUCCGCGCCGCAUUAGCUAGUUGGUAAGGUAACGGCUUACCAAGGCAACGAUGCGUAGCCGACCUGAGAGGGUGAUCGGCCACACUGGAACUGAGACGCGGUCCAGACUCCUACGGGAGGCAGCAGUAGGGAAUCUUCCGCAAUGGGCGAGAGCCUGACGGAGCAACGCCGCGUGAGUGAUGAAGGUCUUCGGAUCGUAAAGCUCUGUUAUUAGGGAAGAACAAAUGUGUAAGUAACUAUGCACGUCUUGACGGUACCUAAUCAGAAAGCCACGGCUAACUACGUG
rnacentral:rRNA from 1 species